AUUGAACGCUGGCGGCAGGCCUAACACAUGCAAGUCGAACGAGUAGCGGACGGGUGCGUAAUGUCUGGGAAACUGCCUGAUGGAGGGGGAUAACUACUGGAAACGGUAGCUAAUACCGCAUACCCUCAGAUGUGCCCAUAUGGGAUUAGCUUGUUGGUGGGUUAACGGCUCACCAAGGCCACGAUCCCUAGCUGGUCUGAGCGGAUGACCUGCCACACUGUAACUGAGACACGGUCCAGCCUCCUACGGUAGGCAGCAGUGGGGAAUAUUGCACAAUGGGCGCAAGCCUGGUGCAGCCAUUCCGCGUGUAUGAAGAAGGCCUUCGGGUUGUAAAGUAAUUUCAGCGGGGAGGCGUUACCCGCAGAAGAAGCACCGGCUAACUCCGUGCCAGCAGCCGCGGUAAUUC
rnacentral:rRNA from 1 species